UGCGUAGGCGGGCUCGUGAGUCAGGGGUGAAAUCCCACGGCCCAACCGUGGAAGUGCCUCUGAUACCGCGAGUCUCGAGGGGGAUAGGGGCAUGCGGAACUUCCGGUGGAGCGGUGAAAUGCGUAGAUAUCGGAAGGAACACCGGUGGCGAAAGCGGCGUGCUGGAUCCCUACUGACGCUGAGGCACGAAAGCCAGGGGAGGCAAACG
rnacentral:rRNA from 1 species